AGCGGAUUCCAUAGUCAGUGUCUACAUCUGUACCUCUUCACUGCUUUGUGGGUCCUUUCUUUUGAGGCAAUAUUUUGUGAGAACCGAUGUCAGUAGCUCAAACAGUCUCCAAGCCCUCAGAUAGUGGUGCUGGCCAAGCUCCUGUGGGCAGGAAAGGGCAAAUAUGUGAUAAUCUAGGUAAAGAUGAAUUGCUGCCUUCUGGCAGAGUGAAAGGAGUUCAAUGUAAUCAACCCGCCACCAAGUAGCUGAUUGUAAUUGAUGGAUGGUGCUGUAACCAGAGUUUAACACUGGCCUCUGUUGCUGACAGGUUGAACAUUAGACAGAGGCAAAGUCUACGUGAGCCCUACCGGGUGAGAGUCCACACCAUUGGCCUUAUGUGUAGCCUCUAUUUCUGCUACCGUGGCUACUCCACUCACACGCUCAUUGUGCCAGGACUGAGGAGAGAGACUGUCCGCUUCGUGGUUCAGUGGCCCUUCUUCGGUGGAUGUUUUUUGGACCUGGAACAAGGAGCCAUAUGUUUUGUUACCUUGGGCCACUUCUUUUUCCACACAAUGUCAGUGACAAGAUCCACCACUGAAAACUGUUUAUCCUGAGGAUUUCUCUCACUGCUACCUUUCAAGGUCAUCCCUCAGUGGGAUCAGAAGCAGUUCAUUUUCAGCAUGCACACACUGAGUUGAACCAUCUUCAAACCAAACGCCGCCACUUUCUCCCUCUAUCAGCUACUCCUACAGGACUUCUUGCGUGACCAGAGUAUCUGAGGCUUGUCCAGCAGGCAAAGCUAUUUCAAAUGUAUCCAUAAAGACCUAUAUUAGAAUGAUGACAUUUAACUGGAAAGGAGGAGAUGGGAGAAGAUAUUGUGAAAAUUCUAUACGUUUGACAAUGGAUUGGAUGGGGAAAGAGGAAGACGAAGGAAGAGAAAGAAGAGAAAAGAAACAAACAAAAAGAAAAAAUAACGAAAACCUCCCAUCCUAUUGGACUAAAUAAAACCAAGAGAAUUAAUAAAUGGCUUUUUUUAA